UUCAUUUUACCAAUUUACUUUUUUUUGUUUCAAUUUUUAAUUUUGCCAAUCUUUUGUAAUUAUUGCUACAAUGUAAAUUAAUUUUGUUAAUCAACUUGUCAUCCGUCUAUGUUUAAUUAAUUAGUCAACUUACUUAAACUUAUCCUGCAAAUUUUGUGAUAACGGUCAAGAGCAAGAAAUGUUAAGGUUCCAAUGUGAGCUGAUCCAAAGAAGAAUCCAAAAAAGGCAUACCAUUGACAUCCUUUUGUUCCGUACAACCAUCUGAAGUAUUAUAAGGUGUAUACAUGUUUUAAUAGUUUAUGGUUAAGUUAAUUACCUUCCGGCAAAAUUGGAUGACGAUGAAAAGGGAUUACCAAAUGUAACAAUGCCCAAAUCAGCCAAUGCAAGAUUUGCUAAUAAAAUUGCUGUGUCCGAUGUUUUUGAUCGAAAUCGAUAAAACAUGCAUAAUAAUAUUAUAUUGGAAAUACUGCUGAUUAUUCCUGAAGAGUACAUCAAAUGAUAAUAGUCAUCACAAUGUUUAAUAAGAAGUUCAAGACAAAUAUCAGCUAAUUUGCAUGCUCAUUGACACUGAUUGAAGGACUAAUUCAAUCUGAAAAUAUCUAUGGACAAGAAGCUCACGCAACCAAUUUUGAUAAGUCAUAAUCAACUCCAAGGAAAUGCAUCAAUAUUCAAAGACUUGUAAUGAAAGCAAACCAAAAACAAUUUUUUGUGUUUACUCAUUAAUUAUUAAUCAAUGGCAACUCCUAAUUUGCUACAAAAAAGAAACAUUUAAUUGUACAAGUUAUCAAUGGAUAUUUGACUAAAGAACGCAUUACCAAAUGAACCGAUUAUUGGGUAAAAAUGUUAUUCAAGUAACAAAAACUGGCGAUGGAUAGACAACCAGAAAACGAAUCAAUCUUAAUUGCAAUUGACUUACCUACGCUUGAAAGAUAAAUUCCAAGAAAUGUUGUUAAAUCAGGAUUGGAACUGUUCAUAUUGUUAAAGAAAGCGAUGAUUGUAUAACCAACUAAUCCAAUUGUUUAUUGCUACCUGAGAUGGUGUUGAUCAAAUUAUUAUGGUCAAAGUAUCAAGUAUACACAUUGAGAUGGUAUUUAGAUGUUAAUUAUUUUGGUCCAUUUGGUGGCACACACAUUUAAACGUAAUUCAAGUUUUUUGGUUGAUGUAAAAUCAUUUAAAGUGAGUUGAAAGAUGAAGACAUGAAUGAUGUUGAUUAAGCCGAUGAUUGCAAUGAUUGUGAUGAUCAAGAUGAUUAUAAUAAGUCUGAUGAUGAAGAUAAACAAGAUGAUGAUAGAAGUGUUCAUUUUGUUUAGGAAACAUUACUAGGGAUUCAACCAUUGAAGAUGAAGAUGAUGAUGGCAAGGGAAGCAAACAAGGUAAAAUUGUGAACAACAUUUCACUAAUAUUAUUGUUCACCAAUACAAAGGUAAUGAUGAUGAUGAUUAUUAAUAUGAACUUUUAUCUUCUCGUCUUCCUUUCUCUCUUCCAUAGUCUCUUCCUUAAUCAUAAUCAAAUGUAUUAUAGUUUAGUUAAUCUUUUCCUGUGAAAUGCAAAACAAAGUAAAAAAAAAGGCUAAACUUAUGUUUCAUUCAAGUGAUGCCAGUGAAAAGGUUUACAGAACUAAACAAUCUUACAUCAAAAUGAUUCUCUUUGCUAUUUUCAUCAUAAUCUUCAGUCUCUCUAUUCAACUCCCUGCUUUGGUCUCCUUUUAGACUUCAUCUUCCAGCUACUUCUAUCUCUUCAUUUUGUCUUCCUCUUUUUUACCUUUGCUUUUCGUCUUGUUCACUUUCCUUCAGCCAUUUGCUACUCUCGUCUUCAGCAAUAAAAGUAAAUCGAAGCCAUCAAAAUGUUGAUCUGAUGCUUAUUCAAGCGCUCUUUCCAGCUUUAUCACCUUUAAUCAUUUACCAGAGAUGAGUUAAGAAAUGAAAUCUUUUGUUUCUCCAACAGAAAUAUUCAAUUGUUGUUAGACAAGCAUUAAGAUUAGUCAAACAUUCACAUUUCCUUGCAACAUUUUGACAUUUGUAUGGAACGAGAUGUUUACCUUCAACAACAGUCAACGACUCAACCGCAAUCUAUUUGUUUUCAACAAUAAAAUGUUAAACACACUGCAUUUGACGAGAAACUGGAUUUAUUAAUAAAUGGUGCGAUUGAAAAUGAUAUCAACAUUUAGCUUACAAUGAAUGUUCAUCAUUCUCGUAUAAUAUUAGAUACAGAAAAUUAAUUAAUUGAUGAAUUACUAAAUAUAGAUGAAAACAUAAUCAGUCUCUUGUGGUACAAGUAUUAAUAUAAUAUGUAACAAAAAUAAAGUGAAAAGCAAAUAGUACGAGACGAAACAAAAAACUUUCUAAGAACACGCUCAGAGUGAAUCUACUGAUGAAUCCCAGGAUAUUUAAUCCACAGUAA